UGUGGGAUUGGGUCAAGCGCGACGAGCUCGACCGCCGUUUCAAGUCCUGAAGGCCUUCAUUGAUCAGCAUCGCGCCCCCUUCGGGGGCGAGCCGAUCUGCAAGGUCUUGCGGAUUGCGCCG
rfam:Burkholderia pseudomallei strain K96243, chromosome 1, complete sequence.